AUAAAAAACCAAUGCCCUUCGGGGCUCCUUGGUGAUUCAUAAUAACUUAACGAAUCGCAUGGCCUUGUGCCGGCGAUGGUUCAUUCAAAUUUCUGCCCUAUCAACUUUCGAUGGUAGGAUAGUGGCCUACCAUGGUUUCAACGGGUAACGGGGAAUUAGGGUUCUAUUCCGGAGAGGGAGCCUGAGAAACGGCUACCACAUCCAAGGAAGGCAACAGGCGCGCAAAUUACCCAAUCCCGACACGGGGAGGUAGUGACAAUAAAUACUGAUACAGGGCUCUUUUGGGUCUUGUAAUUGGAAUGAGUACAAUUUAAAUCCCUUAACGAGGAACAAUUGGAGGGCAAGUCUGGUGCCAGCAGCCGCGGUAAUUCCAGCUCCAAUAGCGUAUAUUAAAGUUGUUGCAGUUAAAAAGCUCGUAGUUGAACCUUGGGCCUGGCUGGCCGGUCCGCCUCACCGCGUGCACUGGUCCGGCCGGGCCUUUCCUUCUGGGGAGCCGCAUGCCCUUCACUGGGUGUGUC
rnacentral:rRNA from 1 species